AAAUUGAAGAGUUUGAUCAUGGCUCAGAUUGAACGCUGGCGGCAGGCCUAACACAUGCAAGUCGAACGGUAACAGGAAGCAGCUUGCUGCUUCGCUGACGAGUGGCGGACGGGUGAGUAAUGUCUGGGAAGCUGCCUGAUGGAGGGGGAUAACUACUGGAAACGGUGGCUAAUACCGCAUAACGUCGCAAGACCAAAGAGGGGGACCUUCGGGCCUCUUGCCAUCAGAUGUGCCCAGAUGGGAUUAGCUAGUUGGUGAGGUAACGGCUCACCAAGGCGACGAUCCCUAGCUGGUCUGAGAGGAUGACCAGCCACACUGGAACUGAGACACGGUCCAGACUCCUACGGGAGGCAGCAGUGGGGAAUAUUGCACAAUGGGCGCAAGCCUGAUGCAGCCAUGCCGCGUGUAUGAAGAAGGCCUUAGGGUUGUAAAGUACUUUCAGCGGGGAGGAAGGUGUUGUGGUUAAUAACCGCAGCAAUUGACGUUACCCGCAGAAGAAGCACCGGCUAACUCCGUGCCAGCAGCCGCGGUAAUACGGAGGGUGCAAGCGUUAAUCGGAAUUACUGGGCGUAAAGCGCACGCAGGCGGUCUGUCAAGUCGGAUGUGAAAUCCCCGGGCUCAACCUGGGAACUGCAUUCGAAACUGGCAGGCUUGAGUCUUGUAGAGGGGGGUAGAAUUCCAGGUGUAGCGGUGAAAUGCGUAGAGAUCUGGAGGAAUACCGGUGGCGAAGGCGGCCCCCUGGACAAAGACUGACGCUCAGGUGCGAAAGCGUGGGGAGCAAACAGGAUUAGAUACCCUGGUAGUCCACGCCGUAAACGAUGUCUACUUGGAGGUUGUGCCCUUGAGGCGUGGCUUCCGGAGCUAACGCGUUAAGUAGACCGCCUGGGGAGUACGGCCGCAAGGUUAAAACUCAAAUGAAUUGACGGGGGCCCGCACAAGCGGUGGAGCAUGUGGUUUAAUUCGAUGCAACGCGAAGAACCUUACCUGGUCUUGACAUCCACAGAACUUUCCAGAGAUGGAUUGGUGCCUUCGGGAACUGUGAGACAGGUGCUGCAUGGCUGUCGUCAGCUCGUGUUGUGAAAUGUUGGGUUAAGUCCCGCAACGAGCGCAACCCUUAUCCUUUGUUGCCAGCGGUUAGGCCGGGAACUCAAAGGAGACUGCCAGUGAUAAACUGGAGGAAGGUGGGGAUGACGUCAAGUCAUCAUGGCCCUUACGACCAGGGCUACACACGUGCUACAAUGGCGCAUACAAAGAGAAGCGACCUCGCGAGAGCAAGCGGACCUCAUAAAGUGCGUCGUAGUCCGGAUUGGAGUCUGCAACUCGACUCCAUGAAGUCGGAAUCGCUAGUAAUCGUGGAUCAGAAUGCCACGGUGAAUACGUUCCCGGGCCUUGUACACACCGCCCGUCACACCAUGGGAGUGGGUUGCAAAAGAAGUAGGUAGCUUAACCUUCGGGAGGGCGCUUACCACUUUGUGAUUCAUGACUGGGGUGAAGUCGUAACAAGGUAACCGUAGGGGAACCUGCGGUUGGAUCACCUCCUUACCUUAAAGAA
rnacentral:rRNA from 2 species